UGGCAGUUUUUCGAAACAGGAUGACCUCAGUGUCUCAGUGAACAUUCCCUCUCUUGGAGAGCUACUGCUGUGUAUCCAAUGACUGCUGAAUUUGCCUACAGGGUGUUAAUGAACCUCACUAGAGACAAUCAGUGAGCAGUGUCAAAGAUCCACUUUUAUCUACAUGAUAUCAAGAAAACUCAAGGAGGGCCUUCAGCAUGCCAAAUUUAUGAGGCUAACAAUGGAGCAGAGAGAUAUAAUUCUAUCCCCUUUCUCUGAGGAAAGUGAGAAAGCACUGGGCCCAUCCUCUGAUUCCCUUCCUUGGAGAAAGUAAGAGAAUUAAACACGACCCAUUCCAACAAAAAGAAAAAUGAGGAAAAGACUAGAGACCAUACUAUUGAAACUGGCUAGAAGCCUUAGCUGGACUAGUUGCCAAGCUCAACUGGAAGUUGGACCACAUGGGAAUAGUCAGGAAUACCUCAAGAUUCAUCUUGUGGAAUAUUUGCCCUGGGCUAUCAUGGGCUGAUUUGAAGUAUUUCAAAAGGCCAGGAACUGAAAUAACUAAAUGUUCUAAACUUUUGCUCCACUGUCACUCUUGGAAAUGGUAUUUGAGUCUGCAGCACAUAUCCAAGUACUGGUCACAUGUUAUUAUCGGACAAAGAUAACCUAAGUAAUUAAA